GUGAGCUAUUGUUGCUGUUGCUUCUGAACUACAAAAUGAUUUUUAAAUUUAUUAUUGAAUGAGACUGUACAUUAUAAAUGUAAUGCUUUAACUCUAGAUGUUUGUUUGUGUAAAUGCUGUGUGUGCGUUGAGUCCUGCGCGAGCGGGUAGCAGAGUUGCCAUGGAAACGGGGCAUCAACACAAAAACCGUUACUGGCAAGCAGUAAUCUCCUCUCUCGAUGCAGUUUACACUGUUUUGGAAACGGUUUAGUGUCUUCGGAAAAGUCCGUUAUCAUUUUAGCAGUUUUCAGAUGUUUGUUUGUGUAAAUGCUGUGUGCGCGUUGAGUCCUGCGCGAGCGGGUAGCAGAGUUGCCAUGGAAACGGGGCGUCAACACAAAAACCGUUACUGGCAAGCAGUAAUCUCCUCUCUCGAUGCAGUUUACACCGUUUUGGGUAAGUUUAGUCGCUAAAAUCACACAAAUAUUACAUACAAAUGUUCCUGACACGUUUCUUGCUUGUUAUUGACAUGUUUCAAUUAAAUUUAUUU